UCGCCAAUUCUGUCUUAGCCGUGC
rnacentral:siRNA from 1 species